CCUACGGGUGGCUGCAGUAGGGAAUCUUCCACAAUGGGCGAAAGCCUGAUGGAGCAACGCCGCGUGGGUGAAGAAGGUCUUCGGAUCGUAAAACCCUGUUGUUAGAGAAGAAAGUGCGUGAGAGUAACUGUUCACGUUUCGACGGUAUCUAACCAGAAAGCCACGGCUAACUACGUGCCAGCAGCCGCGGUAAUACGUAGGUGGCAAGCGUUAUCCGGAUUUAUUGGGCGUAAAGGGAUCGCAGGCGGGCUUUCAAGUCUGAUGUGAAAGCCUUGGGCGUAACCGGAGGAGUGCAUUGGAAACUGGGAGACUUGAGUGCAGAAGAGGAGAGGGGAAUUCCAGGUGUAGCGGUGAAAUGCGUAGAUAUAUGGAGGAACACCAGUGGCGAAGGCGGCUAUCUGGUCUGUAACUGACGCUGAGGUUCGAAAGCGUGGGUAGCAAACAGGAUUAGAUACCCUUGUAGUC
rnacentral:rRNA from 1 species